AUGAGGCUACUCUUGGCAGGCCCCUAGGAGAGGGCUGGUAACCAGAAUGACCAAGCCUCAAUCUGAAGCAUGGAACUCUCAGCCCCACUUCCCAGUCUUCGGGGAGAAGAGAGGGACUAGAGAUGGAAGCUCUCGCCAAUGGCCAGAGGCAGAGGUUGCAGUGAGCUGAGAUCAUACCAUUGCACUCCAGCCUGGGCAACAAGAGCGAAACUCCAUCUGGAAAAAAAGCAAGCCCAGAACAACAGAAUUUGGAGAGCUUCAGAUUAUUAAACACACGGAGGUGCUGAGAUGGUGGUGCACCUAGAGAGGGCACGGAAACUCCGUGCCACCCCACCUCCCACACCUGGCCCUAUGCAUCUCUCCUAUGUGGCUGUUCCUGAGUUGUAGCCUUUAUAAAAAAAACAUGUAGGUAAAAAGGCAAGAAGGUGUAUUGAGCCCUGUUGCUCCAUACUGGCCAAGAGUGGAAAACUUCAAAUACAAGCUUUCUCCCAAGUUUAAAGUUUCAAAACUUCAACCACCACACCCGAGGCCUCCUGUGCCUACCACUAUCAAGGCAGCCUAUUUUGGAAUCAUCUGACUCCAUGUCUGUAUGAUUGAUGAGAGCCAAGGUAAAAUAAAACUUUAAUCUCUGAGUCACUGGUCCCUAGCACAGAGGCCUGGCUCUCUUGGGAGCCCAGGGAAGCUUUGCUGGUUGAAUGAAUGUACGUGUGGAGGUAAGCCCUGGGUCAAAAACCUAAGAACACAGGUCCCCAGCGCCGUUCUGAAAGGCUCGACCCAAAGCCUGCACUGAACCUGAGAACCAAAUCUAAACUCUUCACCAGCCAGGAGAAUUGGGGACUUUGUUUCCCCUUAUGACAGUAAGAAGAGAACCCAAUAGAAUAAGAAGGGCUUUGACAAACUGGACAAAUGCCCUGGGAAAUGGCAAUUCGAAGAACUUGCAGUU